rnacentral:snRNA from 1 species
AUAUUUACCUGGCAGAGGAGAUAGCCUGAUCAAAAAGGUGGUUUUCCCAGGGCACUUUCAGAGUAGAAAAUUUGAGUAAUCUGUGGUACUGGGGGACUGUGCUAACCCUCUCCCAUG